ACUCAAAUGAAUAGACGGGGGCCCGCACAAGCGGUGGAUUAUGUGGUUUAAUUCGACGCAACGCGAAGAACCUUACCAAGGCUUGACAUCCUACGAAUCUUGAGGAAACUCAGGAGUGCCCUUCGGGGAGCGUAGAGACAGGUGGUGCAUGGUUGUCGUCAGCUCGUGUCGUGAGAUGUUGGGUUAAGUCCCGCAACGAGCGCAACCCCUAUGUUUAGUUGCUAACAGGUUAAGCUGAGCACUCUAGACAGACUGCCGGUGACAAACCGGAGGAAGGUGGGGAUGACGUCAAAUCAUCAUGCCCCUUAUGUCUUGGGCUACACACGUAAUACAAUGGCCGGUACAGACGGAAGCAAGACCGCGAGGUGGAGCAAAUCCGAGAAAGCCGGUCUCAGUUCGGAUUGUUCUCUGAAACUCGAGAACAUGAAGUUGGAAUCGCUAGUAAUCGCAGGUCAGCAUACUGCGGUGAAUACGUUCCCGGGCCUUGCACACACCGCCCGU
rnacentral:rRNA from 1 species